rnacentral:rRNA from 1 species
GACGAACGCUGGCGGCGUGCUUAACACAUGCAAGUCGAACGGAAAGGCCCUGCUUUUGUGGGGUGCUCGAGUGGCGAACGGGUGAGUAACACGUGAGUAACCUGCCCUUGACUUUGGGAUAACUUCAGGAAACUGAGGCUAAUGCCGGAUAGGAGCUCCUGCUGCAUGGUGGGGGUUGGAAAGUUUCGGCGGUUGGGGAUGGACUCGCGGCUUAUCAGCUUGUUGGUGGGGUAGUGGCUUACCAAGGCUUUGACGGGUAGCCGGCCUGAGAGGGUGACCGGCCACAUUGGGACUGAGAUACGGCCCAGACUCCUACGGGAGGCAGCAGUGGGGAAUAUUGCACAAUGGGCGGAAGCCUGAUGCAGCAACGCCGCGUGCGGGAUGACGGCCUUCGGGUUGUAAACCGCUUUCGCCUGUGACGAAGCGUGAGUGACGGUAAUGGGUAAAGAAGCACCGGCUAACUACGUG